rnacentral:rRNA from 1 species
UACGGGGGGGGCAAGCGUUGUUCGGAAUUAUUGGGCGUAAAGGGCGCGUAGGCGGCUUGGCAAGUGGAUGGUGAAAUCCCUCGGCUUAACCGAGGAACUGCCAUCCAGACUGCUUCGCUUGAGACCGGGAGAGGUGAGUGGAAUUCCCAGUGUAGCGGUGAAAUGCGUAGAUAUUGGGAGGAACACCAGUGGCGAAGGCGGCUCACUGGACCGGUACUGACGCUGAGGCGCGAAAGCGUGGGGAGCAAACAGG